UUCUGUGUCACUCCACAGCCUAGGCUGAAUUCAGAGCCUGUAAGUAGUGCAGAGCAAGUGAAUGACAGUGUGCAUAUUUUGGAACCACCCAAAUACAAGAGCAAAAGGCAACCCCCCUCCUCAAAUGAAAAACAAUAGGAGAUGCAUAUCAAUAACAUAAAGAAAAAUUAAUAAUGUUUGAAACGGAUGAUGGAUGUCACAGAUGCCUGCUGCAGCCCUCAUACAGGAAAAGGAGGGUGGGGAUGUAUUCCAAAGAAGAAAAUGAACUGGGAAAGAAUGAAAAAAAUGUUGAACUAGAGUUUAGCCAUUAAAUUCAUGUCUCUUGUGCAGGAUGAUGUUAAUAAUUGUGAAUAAUCGGUAUCCAGCUAAGGUGGGCCUUUGCUCUUUUUGUUAUCAGCAAAAGAACAAUCUCCUCAUUUUUCUCUCCUGGAUGUAUAAUAUUUCUCUGAAGAGUGAGAUUCCUGUUUUUAGUAUUUAGUUUUAGUAUUAAUUCAAGCUCUAAUUCAAGCCUUUCAUCCUAAUGAAACAGAAAUCCAAAGACAUAUUGAUGCCUGAUUGCAGUGACUAAUAAGGCCUAAAAUGCAGUUGUUUAAGACAAUUGCUCAAUUUUUUUUAAAAAAAUGUGAACUACAAUAUGUAACAGCCUGCACUGUUCCUGAAGCAUCUUAAACAUCCCUUUCUCUUAGAAAUCUCCAGAGUGCCAGGCUAUACUAGUUAUUACCAAUUGAAUUUUCAAUAGCAAACUUACCAAGCCCUAACUUUGACAAAUUUUAUUUCACAUUUGUCAAAGGAAAUAAAGCUGACAGCAUUACAGGGGCUGUGUACUAAAAGUAGUAUCUCAAUUCCAACAGUCUGUCCGACCUCUCUGUCCUUAGGGGACCAUUAAAUCUGGGCCCAAUUCACAGCUUUGUUUGAACACAAUAUAUUUUACUCCUUUUCUUUGCACCCCUGAUAUUUAUUUCAGUGUUAAAUCUCUUCUUCCCUUCAUCUGUUACCUUGUUUUAUUUCUGUUUUUGAGAACCUAUAUUUUUGCUAAUAAAUAUUCACUACAC